rnacentral:misc_RNA from 1 species
CAGAGUUAUUAAAACUCCCAAACCCAUGUGAACAUACUUCGCGUUGCCUCGGCAGGUGUUAGCCUACCCUGUAGGUGCCCCUGCCGAUGGCCUCUUAAAAUUCUGUCAUUUUAUGAUUAGACGUCUGAAAAAUAACUAAAUAAGUUA